GAUGAACGCUGGCGGCGUGCCUAAUACAUGCAAGUCGAGCGAACGGACGAGAAGCUUGCUUUUCUGAUGUUAGCGGCGGACGGGUGAGUAACACGUGGAUAACCUACCUAUAAGACUGGGAUAACUUCGGGAAACCGGAGCUAAUACCGGAUAAUAUUUUGAACCGCAUGGUUCAAAAGUGAAAGACGGUCUUGCUGUCACUUAUAGAUGGAUCCGCGCUGCAUUAGCUAGUUGGUAAGGUAACGGCUUACCAAGGCAACGAUGCAUAGCCGACCUGAGAGGGUGAUCGGCCAAACUGGAACUGCGACACGGUCCAGACUCCUACGGGAGGCAGCAGUAGGGAAUCUUCCGCAAUGGGCGAAAGCCUGACGGAGCAACGCCGCGUGAGUGAUGAAGGUCUUCGGAUCGUAAAACUCUGUUAUUAGGGAAGAACAUAUGUGUAAGUAACUGUGCACAUCUUGACGGUACCUAAUCAGAAAGCCACGGCUAACUACGUG
rnacentral:rRNA from 1 species